rnacentral:rRNA from 1 species
UGACCUCGGAUCAGGUAGGAAUACCCGCUGAACUUAAGCAUAUCAAUAAGCGGAGGAAAAGAAACCAACAGGGAUUGCCCUAGUAACGGCGAGUGAAGCGGCAACAGCUCAAAUUUGAAAUCUGGCUACUUUGUAGUCCGAGUUGUAAUUUGUAGAGGAUGCUUUUGGUGAAGUGCUUUCUGAGUUCCCUGGAACGGGACGCCAGAGAGGGUGAGAGCCCCGUACAGUUAGCAACUGAUCCUUUGUAUAGCUCCUUCGACGAGUCGAGUAGUUUGGGAAUGCUGCUCUAAAUGGGAGGUAUAUCUCUUCUAAAGCUAAAUAUAGGCUAGAGACCGAUAGCGCACAAGUAGAGUGAUCGAAAGAUGAAAAGCACUUUGAAAAGAGAGUUAAACAGCACGUGAAAUUGUUGAAAGGGAAGCGCCUAUGACCAGACUUGUCUCUAUCAGUUUUGGUAGUUUUCGGACUGCUUUACUCUGUUAGUACAGGCCAACAUCAGUUUGUUGUCGGGGAGAAAGGCUUAGGGAAUGGUGGCU